UCACAUCCUGGGGCUGAAGUAGGUCCCAAGGGUAUGGCUGUUCGCCAUUUAAAGUGGUACGCGAGCUGGGUUUAGAACGUCGUGAGACAGUUCGGUCCCUAUCUGCCGUGGGCGUUGGAAGAUUGAGAGGGGUUGCUCCUAGUACGAGAGGACCGGAGUGAACGCACCACUGGUGUUCGGGUUGUCAUGCCAAUGGCAUUGCCCGGUAGCUAAGUGCGGAAGAGAUAACCGCUGAAAGCAUCUAAGCGGGAAACUUGCCUCGAGAUGAGUCUUCCCCUGUCACCUUGAGUGACCUAAAGGAGCGUUUAAGACUAAGACGUUGAUAGGCUGGGUGUGUAAGCGUAGCGAUACGUUGAGCUAACCAGUACUAAUGAACCGUGAGGCUUAACCUGACA
rnacentral:rRNA from 1 species